rnacentral:rRNA from 1 species
UACGUAGGAUGCGAGCGUUAUCCGGAAUUAUUGGGUGUAAAGCGUGUGUAGGCGGGAAAUUAAGUCUAAGGUCUAAGCCUGGAGCUCAACUCCAGAUCGCCUUAGAAACUGAUUUUCUUGAGUAUGGUAGAGGCAAACGGAAUUUCUAGUGUAGCGGUAAAAUGCGUAGAUAUUAGAAGGAACACCAGUGGCGAAGGCAGUUUGCUGGGCCAAAACUGACGCUGAGACACGAAAGCCAGGGUAGCAAACG